UACGUAGGGUGCGAGCGUUAAUCGGAAUUACUGGGCGUAAAGCGUGCGCAGGCGGCUUUGCAAGACAGAUGUGAAAUCCCCGGGCUCAACCUGGGAACUGCUUUCAAAACUGCUGAGCUAGAGUACGGUAGAGGGUGGUGGAAUUUCCUGUGUAGCGGUGAAAUGCGUAGAUAUAGGAAGGAACACCAGUGGCGAAGGCAAUCCCCUGGGCCUGUACUGACGCUCAUGCACGAAAGCGUGGGGAGCAAACAGG
rnacentral:rRNA from 1 species